GACGAACGCUGGCGGCGUGCUUAAUACAUGCAAGUCGAACGGAAAGGUCCUGCUUUUGUGGGGUGCUCGAGUGGCGAACGGGUGAGUAUCACGUGAGUAACCUGCCCUUGACUUUGGGAUAACUUCAGGAAACAGGGGCUCAUACCGGAUAGGAGCUCUUGCUGCAUGGUGGGGGUUGGUAAGUGUCGGCGGUUGGGGAUGGACUCGCGGCUUAUCCGCUUGUUGGUGGGGUAGUGGCUUACCAAGGCUUUGACGGGUAGCCGGCCUGAGAGGUUGACCGGCCACAUUGGUACUGAGAUACGGCCCAGACUCCUACGGGAGGCAGCAGGGGGGAAUAUUACACAAUGGGCGGAAGCCUGAUGCAGCAGCGCCGCGUGCGGAAUAACGGCCUUCGGGGUGUAAACCGCUUUCGCCGUAGACGAAGCGUGAGUGACGGUAAUUGGUAAAGAAGCACCGGCUAACUACGUG
rnacentral:rRNA from 1 species